rnacentral:lncRNA from 1 species
CAUGCACUGGCCACCCAACAUUCGGAGCUUUCUCUUGGAAGACUCCCCUGGGAUGCACUCAGAGAUCUCCCUCUCCACAUGAUUGUCACUCUCUUGACCCCAUUUACACUCUGCUGGGCCCCCCUUCCUUAGGACAUGGUGUGUCAUAAUCCACAACAAUGCCCAGAAGCUGAUCCGACUCUGUGACCCGCUACAGAAAGGGAAGGAUGCUGCCUUCUCCCUUGGACAGUGUCUCUAGCACCUCCACACCCAGGAAGAACCUGCUGGUGAUGCCUCCUGGGCCCAGAGACACAGAGAGGAGCUGGUGGAGGGCUGCAGGCUGGCCAAACACCUUGUCCUCCAGCUCCACGCAGCAAACUGGAAACAAGACAGAUGAGGACGAGAAAGAGCCACUUUACCAAAUGGACGAUCGGAGCAGCAAUUUCAACCUCCUGAUUCAGUUUCAAGCCCGAGAGCUGACCCAGUUAAGGAAGAAGUUGGAAGAAGGAAGAAAUGUCACAUUCAUCCUCCACAAAAAUCUCAAAGACCUGAUCACUGAGAAUGACUUGGAUGAACCCCAAGGGCAGAGCCUCCUACAGCUGGCAGAGUGGUACAAGCUGGCUGAGAGCCUGAGCCUCAAUCUCGGCCCAGAGCAGCACUGUGAUGGGGAUGAUGAGGAAGAAACAGAGUCCCUGGACUCCAGUGGUGAGCAGCAGGAUGGGAAAGUGGAUGAACUCCUGUCAGAUUCAGUAGAAGAACACUGCCCCCUCGCUUCUGGGCAUCCUGAUGCACCUUACCAAUGGCAACAUCACAUCCGCGCUGCCGGCCUGCAGAGGAGCCUGAAGCAAGUUCUGUGCCCGAUGGAACCAAACCUGAAGGCAUCCGCAAACCACAGGAGGAGCAGGCAACUGAGCUGCGCAGGGAUUUCAGUUCUGUGAUGGAACUUCUGGCCCAGAUGUCGACCAACUUGGGGGAAACUUUCCACAGUUAGAAGGAUAUCAUCUUCUUCCUCUGUCACAGCAUUAGGAACCUGCGGUCCCGGGAUGGCCCUGUGAGACAAGAGGGGCAGAGUCACCGAGACCAUGCUGAGAGGCACAAGAUGACUGAGCCCCUCGCCCUCCAGCCCUGCCCAGGUGAGGUGACCACUGGGCCUGGUCAGC